rnacentral:rRNA from 1 species
AACGAACGCUGGCGGCAGGCCUAACACAUGCAAGUCGAGCGAACCCUUCGGGGUUAGCGGCGGACGGGUUAGUAACGCGUGGGAAUAUACCCUUUGGUACGGAAUAGCCUCGGGAAACUGAGAGUAAUACCGUAUGUGCCCUUCGGGGGAAAGAUUUAUCGCCAAAGGAUUAGCCCGCGUUGGAUUAGGUAGUUGGUGGGGUAAUGGCCUACCAAGCCUACGAUCCAUAGCUGGUUUGAGAGGAUGAUCAGCAACACUGGGACUGAGACACGGCCCAGACUCCUACGGGAGGCAGCAGUGGGGAAUCUUAGACAAUGGGCGCAAGCCUGAUCUAGCCAUGCCGCGUGGACGAUGAAGGCCUUAGGGUUGUAAAGUCCUUUCAGAUGGGAAGAUAAUGACGGUACCAUCAGAAGAAGCCCCGGCUAACUCCGUGCCAGCAGCCGCGG